GAGAGUGACAGCUCAUAGGAUGGAUCAGAUGGUGGAAGCUGAAGGAGGAAGACUGUUGUGUGAAAUUCAGUGACCAGGUGAGAGAGGCACUGGGUGGAGGGGAAGAAAUUUUGAAUAGCUGGAAAAGUACUGGAGAUGUGGUGAGGGAGACAGCUAGGAAGGUACUGGGUGUGACAU